AUUACAAUCUAGAAUCACAAACCUUUAAAUCUUGCCUAAUUUGCUCAAAAGUGCUUGUUCUGACAUGAUGAGAAUGGAAUUCGAGGGUUUUUAAUUGACCGUUUGAUCAACCUGGAUAGUUAUAUUAGGUUGUACAGACCAUGUCUGAGCCAAAAGUCAAAAGACGAAAAGUGAGGGAAGAUAAAGAGAGUAAAAAGUCUGAGCUGGAAGAAACAUUCGGGGUUAGGUUUAACCCUGGUAUGCAACUACUGUGGACUUGGUCUCUCAAUCAAUCUCCUGAGGACCCACUAAAUAGUCUGCACUCACUACUGAAUCUCAAGCUAUGUGGUCCGUUCCGCUACCUCCAGAAAUCGACCACGAACACAGAGAACACAGCGUCGAACACUGACAGCACAGCGCCAAGUGACGCAGUUGAUUUGCACAUGUUAGAUAGAGAGUGGCAAUGUCCUCCCGAGUUUCAACCUUGUGCACAGAACCACACUCACUUGUUUGGAUUGUGGAGGGACACCCCUUGGGAGCGGCCAACAUUUGUUGUAGAGAAACGGAAGGGUGAUCACGGUGCUAUAACACCUGUUGCAAUGGACACACUGACCUAAUAAGGGUUUUAAGCAAGAAACGAAAAGUUGAUCUACCUAAAGAUCUGAAAAAGCUGAUUGAAGCCCACGCUUCUACGAAAGAUUUGAAAAAAGUAGAAACUACAAGGAGGAAAAGUGUCGUUGCUAAGACAUUUAACAAGAUUGGGAUAGUUGUGCUGGUUGGUAAGAAUGACGUGGGAUAUCGACCAUUAACCAUGAGUUACUCCGAGCUUGACGCCAUGCUGACAAAAAGUUGUGAAACAGAUGAUGAGGCGAAGAAAGAUAAAAUACUGGCUCCAUUUGAUGAGUGUAUGAACUACAUUCAGUUCGCAAACGAUGAGUGUGAUUACGGAAUGGGCUUCGAGUUGGGAAUGUGUGUCUUAGCACAUAAAACAAGUCGGAACUUCAUGGGAACCAUAUCGUCUCUGCUACCUCUGGCAUACGAUCUGCUCGGUAGAAAACUCUUCUCUAAAAUCAUGAAGCGGAUUUGUGAAAAAGAAGAAGCUCAGCCAACUAAUUGAGAAGGAGGCGGUUGAUUGAGGUAAUGGUGAAUGUGGGAUGGAGAAUGAGAAAUUUGUUCAGCACGUUUUUAUGAAUGCUUGAAGUAUAAUUUAUCAUUACAAUAAAUUUAUUUGCUGUCAAUGAAAUUAGCAAACAUCAAACUUUGUAUUCGUCAGUUUUUAACUAUUGUUUUUAAAUGUUAUAUUAUCUAUUUGAAUUAACUUUUGUCA